rnacentral:rRNA from 1 species
CCUACGGGAGGCAGCAGUGAGGAAUAUUGGACAAUGGGGGAAACCCUGAUCCAGCAAUGCCGCGUGAGUGAUGAAGGCCUUAGGGUUGUAAAGCUCUUUUACCAGGGAUGAUAAUGACAGUACCUGGAGAAUAAGCUCCGGCUAACUCCGUGCCAGCAGCCGCGGUAAU